CAGGUAACGUGACAAGACCUUGGAUUUAUCAAUUUGAAAGCCAAAGCUGCCAGUUGAGUUCCUUCUCAAAAAGCGAGCAUCACGCUCAAUUCUCUCCAGAUGUGCAGGUAUGCCAACAACCAUCUCACCCAUUUUGAGCUAGAGUAUCACUGCAGAUAUAUCAUGAGAUACAGAGAGGUUUAGUAAAGAAUCUCACAUUGCUUGUUUCCUUUUAUGUUUUUCACAACUGUUAAAUUUCAACACUUACCUAGAAAAACUUAUCAGAAGAAGAGACCCUUUGAAACCUUGACCUCACAAAUGCAGCACCCUAGUGUAAAAAAACAAACAAACAAGGACCUGUGAGAAAAUUGAUACUAAUUAAAAAGCAUGUGGUGGCAUUCAUGGUUUUCCAUCAUGAUUAAACAUAAACCAUUUUGUUCCCGAUAAUUGAUAUCUAUGUUGGUCGGACUCUUUAAAAAUGUUAGACAUGUGCCUGUCGAAUCUUCCAAAGGUAGGACAGUUUUGAAAGAUCCGACAUGGGUUCAACGACAUUUUAGGGAGAGCCUGAGAAACAUAGGUUAAAUAUAAACCCCUACCGUUAUAAAAAUGAUUCGAAGGAUAUAUGCUAUUGUGCAUUUGUAGGACAACAAUUUUAAAGAACAAUGUAACAAGGAUGAAAAGAAAGUACCUAUUAUGCAGUUUGCACUUCUGCCUCCAUCUGAAUAUUCCUCAAAAUGCACUGUUAUUCUUAUUACCUAAAAAAUUAAUGCAUCCAAAUUAAUGAACUUUUAUUAAGAUAUAACUAACAAAUUGUAUAUGAUUAUAAAGACGUAAAGAUAUGGAACAUAUAUAUAUAUUUGACAAAAAAUUUUUAGUAACAUGAAUAAGUUGUGGCAUAUAAACGUAUGAAGCACCAAAAAAAGGAAAAUGUCAUUUCGUUUCAAUAGAUAAAACAAUCCAUAAUAUCCUUUGAUAAAAAAUUAAUAAAUAUGUUUACUUCCUAAAUCAUACAUUUCCAAUUAUCAUCUCCAUUAUUCUGCAACAAAUUCAGCAUAAAGGAAAGUGAAAAUCGUUAUUUAAAUUUAAAAGGUACAUUGAGUUCGUCCUGGAGCUGUAAAAUUAGAUUGUGUUAUUAAUUCAAAAAUUACGUCAAGAAGCAAAAACAAAACCUAAAUUCAGACAAAAGGAAUUGAACAUUUCAUUAACAUGGAUUAUUUUCAUCUUCAAUUUGAGAUCAAUCUUUGAGGAACACAAUCAAGAAUCAUUUAACACCAACAAAAAAGAAAAUUCUGGUGGAAAAUUAUACCUAUUUCUUGAUAAAUUGGGAAUGAAAAACCAAAGAGGGACUCUUAACAAUUAGUUGGUAAUUUUUUGAGGGAACAAAAUUUCUAAAAUUGCAAAGAAAGAAAACAAAAUGAUAGGAAAAAAGAAAAGAGAGAAAAAACAAUAAGAUAGAUAGAUAGAUAGAGGGGGAUUUUAAAAUUCAUAGACAAUUUUUUUUUAUAAGAAUA
rnacentral:lncRNA from 1 species